rnacentral:rRNA from 1 species
GGGGAAUAUUGGCAAUGGGCGCAAGCCUGACCCAGCAAACGCCGCGUGAAGGAAGAAGGCUUUUCGGAUUGUAAAACUUCUGAUCUGUGGGACGAAGAAAGUGACGGUACCACAGGAGAAAGCCACGGCUAACUAC